rnacentral:lncRNA from 1 species
AAUUUAUCCAAAUUCAUAGAUGUACACCACCAAGAUUGAACUCUAAGGUAAACUAUGGACUUUGAGUGAUAAUGACAUGUCAAUGUAGGUUCAUCAAUUGUAACAAAUGUGUGGCUCCUGUGGGAGACGUUGAUAGUGGGGAACUAAAAUGUGUGGGGGCAGGGAAUAUAAUGGGAAUUCCUAUACAAUCUGUUCGGUUUUUCUGAGAACCUAAAACUGCUCUAAAAAUAAUAAAGCAGAAAGCAGAAGAUUAUUAUAAAGACAAAGAAGAAAGGCCCCAAAUCAGCAACAUAAUUUUUCACAUUAAGAAAGUAGAAAUAGGGGCUGGGGUUGUGGCUCAGUGGUAGAGUGCUCCAGUAGCACACAUGAGGCACUGGUUUUGAUCCUCAGCACCACAUAAAUGUAAAAUAAAGAUUUGGUGUCCACCUAAAACUAAAAAAUAAAUAAAUAAAAAGAAACUAGAAAUAAGCUGGGUGCAGUAGCACAUGCCUUUAAUGCCAGCAAUUCUGGAGGCUGCGGCAGGGAGCAUUCCAAGUUUAAGGCCAGUCUCAGCAGCUUAGGGAGACCUUCAGCAACUUCAAAAAACUCUGUCUCAAAUUAAAAAAUAAAAAGGGAGAGCUUGUUAAAGUGCCCCUGGUUUCAAUCCCCAGUACCAAAACAAAACAAAAAACUAGAAACAUAACUCCUGUGCAGUAGUGUGAGUCUAAAUAAUGACAAUGUUCUGGAUAUUUUUUAAAAAUCUAGAAUGAAGGAUUUUGAAUAUUUU